CCUACGGGGGGCAGCAGUAGGGAAUCUUGCGCAAUGGACGAAAGUCUGACGCAGCGACGCCGCGUGAGCGAUGAAGGCCUUCGGGUCGUAAAGCUCUGGGGGAGAAGUUCCGGUAUCUCCUUAGCAAGCACCGGCUAACUCUGUGCCAGCAGCCGCGGUAAGACAGAGGGUGCAAACGUUGUUCGGAAUUACUGGGCGUAAAGCGCGCGUAGGCAGCAGCGUGUGUCGGGCGUGAAAUCCCACGGCUCAACCGUGGAAGUGCACUCGAAACUGCGCAGCUAGAGUCUCGGAGAGGAAGGCGGAAUGCUUGGUGUAGAGGUGAAAUUCGUAGAUAUCAAGCGGAACACCGGUGGCGAAGGCGGCCUUCUGGACAUACUGACGCUGAAGCGCGAAAGCGUGGGGAGCAAACAGGAUUAGAUACCCUUGUAGUC
rnacentral:rRNA from 1 species